GAUGAACGCUGGCGGCGUGCCUAAUACAUGCAAGUCGAGCGAACAGACGAGGAGCUUGCUCCUCUGACGUUAGCGGCGGACGGGUGAGUAACACGUGGAUAACCUACCUAUAAGACUGGGAUAACUUCGGGAAACCGGAGCUAAUACCGGAUAAUAUAUUGAACCGCAUGGUUCAAUAGUGAAAGACGGUUUUGCUGUCACUUAUAGAUGGAUCCGCGCCGCAUUAGCUAGUUGGUAAGGUAACGGCUUACUAAGGCAACGAUGCGUAGCCGACCUGAGAGGGUGAUCGGCCACACUGGAACUGAGACACGGUCCAGACUCCUACGGGAGGCAGCAGGAGGGAAUCUUCCGCAAUGGGCGAAAGCCUGACGGAGCAACGCCGCGGGAGGGAUGAAGGUCUUCGGAUCGUAAAACUCUGUUAUUAGGGAAGAACAAAUGUGUAAGUAACUAUGCACGUCUUGACGGUACCUAAUCAGAAAGCCACGGCUAACUACGUGC
rnacentral:rRNA from 1 species